rnacentral:rRNA from 1 species
CCUACGGGCGGCAGCAGUGAGGAAUAUUGGUCAAUGGACGCAAGUCUGAACCAGCGAUGCCGCGUGCAGGAAGACGGCUCUAUGAGUUGUAAACUGCUUUUGUACGAGGGUAAACGCAGAUACGCGUAUCUCUCUGAAAGUAUCGUACGAACAAGGAUCGGCCAACCCCGUGCCAGCAGACGCGGUAAUACGGAGGAUUCAAGCGUUAUCCGGAUUUAUUGGGUUUAAAGGGUGUGUAGGCGGUCGGAUAAGUUAGAGGUGAAAUCCCGAGGCUCAACGUCGGAAUUGCCUCUGAUACUGUUCGGCUAGAGAGUAGUUGCGGUAGGCGGAAUGUAUGGUGUAGCAGUGAAAUGCUUAGAGAUCAUGCAGAACACCGAUUGCGAAGGCAGCUUACCAAGCUACUACUGACGUUGAGGCACGAAAGCGUGGGGAGCAAACAGGAUUAGAUACCCUUGUAGUC